AUUGAAGGCCGAGUGGCAGUUGAGUAUUUGGACCCAAGCCCUGAGGUACAGAAGAAGAAGUAUGCCUUCAAAUGUCACAGACUAAAAGAAAAUAAUAUUGAGCAGAUUUACCCAGUCAAUGCCAUUUCUUUUCACAAUAUCCACAAUACAUUUGCCACAGGUGGUUCUGAUGGCUUUGUAAAUAUUUGGGAUCCAUUUAACAAAAAGCGACUGUGCCAAUUCCAUCGGUACCCCACGAGCAUCGCAUCACUUGCCUUCAGUAAUGAUGGGACUACGCUUGCAAUAGCAUCAUCAUAUAUGUAUGAAAUGGAUGACACAGAACAUCCUGAAGAUGGUAUCUUCAUUCGCCAAGUGACAGAUGCAGAAACAAAACCCAAGUGAGUAUGCUUCACCUGUAUUUGAGCCUUUUCUUGCAUUCAACCCAGGAUUUAUUAAUUUUUCUAAAUUCAUGAAUAGCAUUGUUGAUGCCUGCUUGAUAUUACAGCUGACUGUAGGGUUGGAGUUGAUGUUAUCAUGUUCUCCCAAGCUUUCAAUAUCCGUAGGUUGAUAGACGUCUGAUGGAUAAAAUUGUGCCUAGUUGUUUUGUAGAGAAGAAUGUCAAACUCUCAUUCUUCUUGAAUAGGCUCUAUUAUUUGAAUCUCUGGAGUUAUUACCAGCUCAUUGCUUCAAAAUUAAGUUGAGGAAUUCAAGAAUAAUUUAUUUUAGUAAAUUCUAUUUAAGAUGUUUAAGAAUUUGAACUGCCAAAAAUCUUUCCUCUCCACAGAGGUUGUUUCUUUAAUAUUAACACAAA
rnacentral:sRNA from 1 species